UACGAAGGGUGCAAACGUUGCUCGGAAUUAUUGGGCGUAAAGCGCACGUAGGCGGCUUUGCAAGUCGGAUGUGAAAUCCCUCGGCUUAACCAAGGAAGUGCAUCCGAAACUGCAGAGCUUGAGUACUUAAGAGGAUCGCGGAAUUCCCGGUGUAGAGGUGAAAUUCGUAGAUAUCGGGAGGAACACCAGUGGCGAAGGCGGCCCCCUGGGCCGGCCCUGACACUGAGACGCGAAGGCGUGGGGAGCGAACGGG
rnacentral:rRNA from 1 species